ensembl:lncRNA
UUUUUUUUUUUGUCUUUUUAGGGCAGUAUCCACAGCAUAUGGAGUUUCUCAGGCUAGGGGUUGAAUCAGAGCUACAGCUGCUGGCCUAAACCACAGCCACAGCAAUGCCAGAUCCGAGCCGCAUCUGAGACCUAUACCACAGCUCAGGCAACGCUGGAUCCUUAAUUCACUGAGCAAGGCCAGGGACCCUUCAAACCUGCAUCCUCAUGGAUACUAGUAAGAUUCAUUUCUGCUGAGCCACAACAGGAAUUCCAGUGGUUGCUUCUUUAAUUUCACACUGGACUUACAAAUAAAUGGAGUCACAAACAACUUUUCCAAAGCUAACCAGUAUGUAGGCAAAACUUCUACAACCACCAUAAUGUGACUGGCCAUUUUUCACUCAGCUGCAUUUUCUUUUCCACCCACCUACUCAAUCUCCCAUCCAAUCUGCCUCUACUCUCAUACUCAGGCUUUCCUCUUCAGUCCCCACUGCCCUAGUGCUAUGGAGUGAAAUGUCUGUCCCCUGAGAAUUCACAUCUUGAAUCCUAAUGCCCAAUAUGAUGGUGUUUGGAGGGAGGGCCGUUGGGAAGCAAUUAGAUCAUGAGGGCUCUGCUUAGAUCAUGGGAUUAGUACCCUUAUAAAAGAGGCUGGAGAGAGGCUCCUUAUCCCUUCUACCAUAAUUGCAAGAAAUAAAUUUUUAGAGAAGUGCAUUGAGACCUCACUAGUUUCCUUUGAAAUCACCAGUUUUUUAUUUCAUGCAUUAUUCUGAGAAGGGGUCCACCAGACUGCCAAAGGGAUCCAUGGCCCAAAAAGGUUUACAUGCUCUAAGUGAACUCUGCUUCCAUGCUUAUACCCUCCAAUUCUCCUCCACAAUGCUGCCAGAAAAAAAUUUUUUUGAAAUAUAAAUAUCAUCUGUCAUCCAUACUUAAAAUCCUUAAAUGGUACAAACUGCUCAGAACAAAAUCUAAAUUCAACAGCCCUGCAAUCAAGUAGGUUCUUUACUGGCCCCUGCUCAUCCUCCCAGCUUCAUCUUCCCUCAUGCCAUAAACUCAGCUAACAUCCUGCACUGACUCUGCAAUUCUCUGAAUUCAGCACACUUUCUUACUCCUCUCGGCCUUUUCAUAAGCUGCUUCCCCUGCCUGGAAAGCCCUUCCUCACCAUCCCCACGUGGUUAACUCCUACUCAUCUUUUACACCCAGCUUAAGCACCAUCUCCUCAGAGAAGCCCUCCUGGCCAUCCUCCACUUCCAGUCUCGGUGAGACGCCCUGUCAGUACUUUCACAGUACUCUGAUGAUCUCCCAUAGCACCUUCCUCAUGGUGUUUUGUCUGUUUACCGUCUGCCGCCCCUCCCACACUGUGAGUUUUCUUAGGGCAGAAGCUAGAACAAGAUAUAUCAUGACUUGUAGAACUCAAGACACACAACAGAUUGCUUAACAAAGCUUACUGAACAAGGGAUAGGCUCUGGAAAACAGCCAAACCAGCCAAAGUCCAGUCAGAAACCUCAUUAACUGACAAGAUAGCAGUGGUCUGGAGAUUACUAUAAAUGCAAACUGCCCAGGUGAGGCAAGAGAAUGUGGCAUCCAUUAAUCUGUCACUAAAGUGCCUUCAUUCAAGGCUGGGAAGUCAGUCCUUAAUAAAUGUAAUUACCCUGGUUAGGCACUGUGCCAAGGGCCUUGACAGGCAUCAGAGCUCACUAAACCUCAGAGCAACUCUAGGAUAUACUUUUUUUAAAGAAAAAGAGGCAGAGAGGUAAACUGCCCAAAAGCAAGCAGAAAUUUAUAAAGUCAAAUUCUCAAUUCAGGUCUCUGAUUCCAAAGCCCAUGCCUGGCCACUGAGCUCAGCUGGUUUUCUGGAGAAAAGAGAUCAGCAUGCCCUUCAUCAUUGGAGGCAUUUUGGAAGAGCCUAGGUUGGAUGAGAGGGGGCCCUUCAUCAACCUAUCAGCAAAUAAGAAAGGUCUUAUUCCCCGACCAGCACUACUAUUAAAUUCUUUUAAAUUUAAUGUGACCUCCCCCAUACGUAUUAAUCGAAAAACCUUGGAGUUCCCCGGUGGCCUAGUGGUUAAGGAUUCAGUGUUGUCACUGCUGUGGCUUGGGUUUGANNNNNNNNNNNNNNNNNNNNNNNNNNNNNNNNNNNNNNNNNNNNNNAGAAAAAAAAAAAAAAAAAAAAAAAAGAAGAAAAAAAAUCUUUUAAAAGAGAAGUGCUUGUGAGAGUUUUUCUUCCCGCCCCCACCCCACCCCCCAAACAACAAGUAAAGCGGAAAAUGGGCAACAUUUUGUUGAACAUUCCACACCAGGCUUGAAGGUUGAAAAUGGAGAAUACAUCCCAAGGAAUGGAGUUGCUUUUGGCAAUACCAAUAACAGAAAGAAGAAAGUCUCCAUGGCCUCCUGCAGAGACACUAUGAAGCACUAUCCUUUACCUGGCUCAGGAUGUGCCUUUGGGCUUAGCAGGAGGAAUGAGCCCAAGAGCCUCUAAUAGAUGGAAAACCAAUUCUGCUGAAAGUGCUACUGCUUCCACUUUAGUUUGGAAUGUGCACCUCAGCUCUCUCCCAAUGAUCUUUAACACUUUCCUGUAAGACCCCAGGGAACUCACACCCUACGCUUGAAGAAAAGACAGAAUGUUUUCUUUAAUCUCACCCACACCACCUGUUCACAUCAAUUUCUCAAGCCCUUACAGAUGUGGCCACCUCGUGUAUUUUGACUCUAGUCACAAAGCACCCUCAUUCUUAAUUACUACCAUCUCACAUUUCCCCUCAUCCACCCUGCAUCCCAGUCUCCUCUUUGACCACUUUGUGUUCUUACUCAUCCAACUGACCUCCAAAUCUGAUAUCUGAUACAGAUGUGUCCAGUGACUUCUCUGCAUCCCAAAUUUAAACACUAAACCAACACAGUCCAUUCUUCGUACCUCUAGUUCCAACCAAAAAUACAUACAAUGUAAAACUAUUCAGAUAAACCUAGGCGGCUUUCAACUACAGGAUCAUACAAAUCUAGUCACCAGACAGUUUAAAACCAAAGAGAAAAAAAUGCAGCCUUUAGGUGCACAUACAUCCACAGAAAAAGUUUUACUGUGGCUAUCAUUGUCUAAAUUAAUACAUACUAAUACUGAGAUUAUAAACCCCCGAAGAGACUCUUAGUAUACACACCACGUAACACUCCACACUUUUACUCAAGAUUGUAUCUGUACCACUUAAGUUACAACUGUUCCUUGAUUAGAUCCUGAGUCACACACAGUGAAGAAAAAGAUUGGUUUUACAAAUAAAACACACAGUUUAAUCACAUCUUGGAAUUGCUACCGUACUUUGGGGGGGGGGGGUUUGAAAUGGACAACAGGUAAGCUAAUUAACAGUGGUCUAUACACAAAAAGAGGGGAUAUAGGCUUCAGAGAGUAAAUGACUAUAUCCUCCUAAUAAACAAAAGAAAAAAAAGUUCCUUAUAAGCAAGUAUUUCUGUGGAUCAACAUG